rnacentral:lncRNA from 1 species
AGAUUGGCAAGAGUUAGAUGCACGUGCCUGCCUCCUGUUUUGAGAGAAAAGGGAUAUGUCUUUUUUGAAAUGAUAUUUUUAUUAAUUCUUUGAGAAUUUACAAAGUAUUUUUAUUAAAUACAUCUCCCCCCAACCCCGAUUCACCUCAUUAUUCCUCAUGGAAUAAUAAGUCCUCAUUUUUUUUCCUUUUUAAAUUAACCAUGGAGUCCAAUUUGUGCUACCCAGGUACUCUUGGUUGUGGGGCCUGCCCUGAAGGUGACCUACCAAAAGUCACUCUUAAAACUGACUCUUCUCCCCACAUCUAUCAAAUGCUAUUAGCUAGGCGUGGGGCUUUGUGCUCACGUCUAACCCCUUGCUUGGAUUUUGUCUUGCUUGAGCUUGCACAGGUCUCACUGAUUGUGUACAGCAGCAUAAGUUCAUAUGUGCAACUUCCCUGCUCUGUCCAGAAAAGCUUCCUUGUCUUCAACAUCACCCUUUACUCUUAGAAUUGCUCUGCCCAUCUUUCAUGGUGAUCCAUAAGCCUUAUGGGGUGGGGUGAGAGAGGCAGCCUAUUUAGAGCUAAGAAUUCUAUGGUCUUUUAUUCUCAGAAUGUUAUCCAUCCAAGCCUCUUUCUUAAUCACCAUCUAUUUCCUUACUGUCUUCUCUUAAGUAAACACCUCAAAUUCCCCCAUACAUUUACACUAUAAUGCAAACACACACACACUGUAACCUGAAUCAUAUAUGGUAAUAAAGCCCUAGUAUUAAUUUUCUAAACCAAUCAUCAAACAUAAAAGAAAAGACAACACCACUAAUACAAGCCUAUCUAUAAAAGCCACUAGUGUGUACAGUAGGCCUUUGAAGUCAUUUUUUUUUUUUAAUUUGUUGUUGCAGAAAUUGUUGUCACAACCUGAAGUCUCAGUUCUCCACCAAUGUGGCUUUUUAUUGCAUGGCUCUUCCUUUUCUAGUUUACUUUGCAGACUACCAUAGGUUAAGAACUAAACAGACAUAAAGGCCUUUCCCUGUGUGUGCCACUUACAUUAGGUCCUGAAGAGCACUGGCUGCUUUCAUGGUACUGACUUUGGCUUGUCUAUUAUUUUAAUGGAAGAAAGAAACAUUCUUCUUAGUGAUAUUUUCUCCAGCAACUUAUGAAGUGGGCAUUGCAAUUUGGGGAAUUUUUCUUAUAAUGUCCCUUCCUUUGAGCUACAUUUAUCCUGUAUCUGUUGUUUUGACUAACCACAAGGCAAUACCUAAUGAAGAUAUCAAAGAAUUCCCACUGCAAAUUUAUUGACUGUAAAAACGAACACCUGAAAUUAUUUUAGUAAUGUGGGUGCCGCUGCCAUCUGAUAAGUGGGUACUGUACAGGUCGGCUGCCCUCCAUACUUCAGUGUGUCUCUUAGAAGCUAUGUUGCCCUCUGGCGAUGGUUUUGUCUCUGCUUCUUUAUUUGGAUGCUGCGCUCCAUAAGGAUAACAGGAAUAGUCGGAUCUUUAAUCCUUUAUCUCUGCCCUAUCAUCUUUCCUUGCAUGCUACCCUAGCCGAGAAACUGAUGUCAGACCUCAUAAAUCUUCCUAGUUCAGUAAGAGCCAUCUAUAUUUGAUCAUGUCCUUCUGGGUGCAGUCCUAUUAUUCUAUAUCCCUAUGGUAUGAAUCAGCUAGCAGCAAGUCCCCAAUGUCAGUUUUGAGCACAUUCUUAGACACAAUUGAAAGACCACAUUGGGUAUCAUAUAAAUCUAAUAAUCCUCCAGGUUCCCCAAGUAUGGUCAGGUCCUAAAGUUAUCACCCUGAGGCAUUUUGCCUUACUAAGGUAUUUUAAAAGGUUAAACCUAGGCAGAGCUGAUCUAAUCACACAGAGACUUUUCCAACCUCUAGCCAAAGGAAGAGAUAUAAGAGAUAGGUCUAAGUAAUGUCAUGCUGUGUUGCUGCCAUGAGCCAAGGAUUGCAUCUUGCCUCUGGAAGGUCAAAAAGCAAGAAAUGGAUUCUUUCCCAAAGUCUGCAGAAAAAAAAAAGCUUGGAGGGCACUUUGGCUUUAUCUCAGCAAAACCAUACUGAACUUCUGACAAUAGAACUGCCAAACAGUUACUCAACUGUUACUGAGAUUCAUAUUCUUUUUGCUAAGCCACACUUAUUUAUAACUAAAUUUUCAUUAUUGAAAGAAAAAUUGAGACACAGGAGACAGUUGUAAAGGAAAGAGUGUUAAUAACAAUGCAAAAUUUAAUGUUGAUUUUAAUUGAUAAAGAUGGAGUUACUAAAAUGUCAUAUGUUUCAAAAGACAGUAGAGUUAUUUCUUAUGCCAAGUUCAUCUUACCUGGCACAAAGGCUGUAGGCUUUCUUUAUUUUUAGUUUCUCACUGUCAUGCUUUUCUAGACUCACGACACCUCCUCAGUUCCACUAACCUAUACCUUACCUGCUAAAAAGCUCCCUAUGUAUAGGUUGAAUGUUUGAUUAAAUUGGUCAUAUGACAUACAGAUAAAAAAAUCUGUGAGGAUUUGCAG